UGGGGAAUAUUGGGCAAUGGGCGCAAGCCUGACCCAGCAACGCCGCGUGAAGGAAGAAGGCUUUCGGGUUGUAAACUUCUUUUGUCAGGGACGAUAGUGACGGUACCUGACGAAUAAGCCACGGCUAACUACGUGCC
rnacentral:rRNA from 1 species